GGAGAGGUGGCUGAGUGGUCUAAAGCACCGGUUUCGAAAACCGGCAUGGGGCAACCCAUCGAGAGUUCGAAUCUCUCCCUCUCCG
rnacentral:tRNA from 2 species